CAAUAGCGUAUAUUAAAGUUGUUGCAGUUAAAAAGCUCGUAGUCGGAUUUCUGGCUUGGAAGGGCGGUCCGUUUGGCCUUGCCAGAUGUGAACCAGCAUCUUCCAGCCAUCCUCGUGGAGAGCUGUCACCAGUAACCCUGGAGGCACGCGAUCCACGUCAUUUACUGUGAACAAAUUAGAGUGUUCAAAGCAGGCUUACGCCACUGAAUACAUUAGCAUGGAAUAAUCCUAUAGGACUUUGGUGAUUCUAUUGUUGGUUACGCACCAGAGUAAUGAUUAAUAGGGAUAGUUGGGGGUAUUCGUAUUCAAUUGUCAGAGGUGAAAUUCUUGGAUUUAUGGAAGACGAACAACUGCGAAAGCAUUUACCAAGGAUGUUUUCAUUGAUCAAGAACGAAAGUUAGGGAUCGAAGACGAUUAGAUACCAU
rnacentral:rRNA from 1 species